AACGUAGGGGGCGAGCGUUAUCCGGAAUCACUGGGCGUAAAGGGCGUCUAGGCGGUCCAGUAAGUCCUGCGUGAAAGCUCCCGGCUCAACUGGGAGAGCGCGUGGGAGACUGUUGGGCUAGAGACUCGGAGAGGGGUGUGGAAUUCCCGGUGGAGUGGCGAAAUGCGUUGAGAUCGGGAGGAACACCAGUGGCGAAGGCGGCACCCUGGCCGAGUUCUGACGCUGAAGCGCGACAGCGUGGGGAGCAAACGGG
rnacentral:rRNA from 1 species